rnacentral:rRNA from 1 species
UACGUAGGGGGCAAGCGUUGUCCGGAAUCAUUGGGCGUAAAGAGCGCGUAGGCGGCCCUGUAAGUCCGCUGUGAAAGUCAAGGGCUCAACCCUUGAAUGCCGGUGGAUACUGCAGGGCUAGAGUCCGGAAGAGGCGAGUGGAAUCCUGGUGUAGCGGUGAAAUGCGCAGAUAUCAGGAGGAACACCGAUGGCGAAGGCAGCUCGCUGGGACGGUACUGACGCUGAGACGCGAAAGCGUGGGGAGCAAACAGG